rnacentral:lncRNA from 1 species
CGUGGUUCGAGCUCGCGCGUGGAGCGGCCUCCAGCGCUCGGUCUGCUAGGGUAGAAGCCCAUGAAGGGGGUCCCGCGGCGCUAGCUUUUGUACGGCCCCGCCUUGGCCAGCCGUGAGCUGACGCACCGGCUCCCCUGGGACGCUGGGGGCGUCGCACCGCAGCUGGGUGGGGAGCAAUUUAUUCCUCGCCGUCCCAUCCCAGCCCAUCUUUGGUUACUCCACCCUACCCCUCCCAUCCCUCCUCCUCCUCCUCCUCUUCCUCCUCCUUCUCUAACAACGCCCGCACUACCUUCUGAUUCUCCACCUCCUCUUCAUCCUCCAUCCCCCUUUUACUUCUCUCUCCCCCGUCUCUCCUCCCUCCCGCCUCCUUUCUCCCUCUCCCCCUCCCUCUCUCCUCUGAAUAAGCAAGCUUUUGCCUCUAAAAGUCACAAGUAAUCCUCGUGUGUGACAGAGAGAGAGAGAGAGAGAGAGAGAGAGAGAGAGAGAGAAACGAGCUGGCGGAGAGGAGCAGAAGGCAGGAGGGGAAAUCUGGCACAACGGCUGGGAGAGGAAACUUGAUGCUUCUGGGCCACCAUUUGCCAGGGCCUCGCUCGAGGAGCGAGAGCAAGAAGAGGAGGAGGAGGUGGAGGAGAAGGAGGAGGAGGAGGAGAGGUGGAAGAGGAGGAGGAGGAGGAGGAGGAGGAGGAGGAGGAGGAGGAGGAGGAGGAGGAGGAGGAGGAGGAGGAAAGAAUGGAGGCGCCGCGGAGCCCUGAUUAUGCAUGGGCUGGAGCUGCCUCCUCUAACCUGUUCUUCUCCGAGCCGGGCAGCCGGCGGUCCUCAGCCGCCCACAGAACAGGAGCCGAAACAACCGUUCUCGAAGGCUACAGCGUUUAUUUUUCUCUUUUGGGGGGUUUUGGCGGUUGUUUCAGGGGCUCGCCAACUGGCCCCUUUAAUUAAAAGCUUCAAUAAAAGGCGAUCGCGCCAGGAAUGCACCCGCUCCUCUUCGCGCAGGAUUUGCAUAUUUUUUUAAUGCCCUAAUUUCCUUGAUGUAUGUAAAUGUAGCCGGACGUAGAGGGAGACAGGGAGCUGACGUCAAUGGACGUGACCUCGCAGCUAAACCUUGAACGUGAAGCCGGGAUGGGGGAAAACACGGAGCGGCAGCCGGCGGAGCCCGAGAGCGCGGGCGGCGGCGGCAGUAGCCGAGCCCAGGCCGGGGUGCCAAGGGACCAGUGCCGGCCCCGGGGGAGGACAAGCCGCCGCCUUCUUUCUGCACCGCGCGGCUCUCAGACUCGCCAGCCUUCCGGCCGCACACGCAGACUCUUGCCCUGAGCUUCCAGCCCCACCACACACACGUUCUUUUGCUUCCCUCAGAAAAGCAACACUCCCCAAAACAACAAACCAAAAUCAACAGAUAAAACAGAUGUUUUAGACCAAUGCUCGGGUAGCUUAUCAGAAAGAAGACUCUGACCACGGAACAUAUAUAUUUUUUGGCUUCUCUCCACAAGAAGAGGAGCGAGAGACCACAGACAACAGCAAAUCACUCCUAAAACACGAUAACUACAAGUGCUCCCUGUAGGGAGAGGUAAAUCGCCCAGCCGACUGGUGAAGUCUUCUGGUUUCGGUACCUAUUUACCUGUGCACUCAUUAUGCGCCUCGGCUUCAUUAACGGCAGGAUCAUGAGCGCGCGUUUUAAUGUGAUGGGAGUGCUGUGUUGUGUGUGUGUGUGUAUGUAUGUAUGUGUGUUGGGAGGUGCUUGCGCUAGUGAGCACCGAGGCAGGCGCUCUGAGCAGAGAGAGAUCAGUCUUUCCAUGGCCACGUCUGGGACUCAUCUGCGG